AACCUCGCCCCAUAGUCUGGGAUACCACUUGGAAACAGGUGCUAAUACCGGAUAAGAAAGCGGAUCGCAUGAUCAGCUUUUAAAAGGCGGCGUAAGCUGUCGCUAUGGGAUGGCCCCGCGGUGCAUUAGCUAGUUGGUAAGGUAAAGGCUUACCAAGGCGAUGAUGCAUAGCCGAGUUGAGAGACUGAUCGGCCACAUUGGGACUGAGACACGGCCCAAACUCCUACGGGAGGGCAGCAGAC
rnacentral:rRNA from 1 species